rnacentral:misc_RNA from 1 species
CUAUAUUACGGCCUCAGAAACACGAGCGUGUCGACUGGACCGAGUAAUUCCUGAUACUCGUCGAGAGAUCUCCAUUUUUUCGCUCGGAAAUGCGACAAAAUGGCUAUAGCCCGCAAAGUUCUGUCAAAGAACAGCAUUUGUUUCUGAAACAAGUAUGAAUAUCCCAAUGUUUAUAGAUUUCCACAUGCUGGAGGAGCCAGAAGCCAACAAACCUGCAUUUUCCAACCAACGUUGCAUCCAUAUUGAAAUAAAACUGACACAUAGCUUCACUGUUGCUUGGUUCCAUUGUCCAGCCCCAACAAUCGCAAAUGUCUGGAGACUGUAGCCUCUGAUCCUCUG